rnacentral:rRNA from 1 species
CACGUAGGGGGCAAGCGUUGUCCGGAUUUAUUGGGCGUAAAGAGCUCGUAGGCGGCUCGGUAAGUCAGGUGUCAAAUCCUCAGGCUCAACCUGGGGCACCACCUGAUACUGCUGUGGCUAGAGUCCGGUAGGGGAGCGUGGAAUUCCUGGUGUAGCGGUGAAAUGCGCAGAUAUCAGGAGGAACACCAGCGGCGAAGGCGGCGCUCUGGGCCGGAACUGACGCUGAGGAGCGAAAGCGUGGGUAGCAAACAGG